AACGAACGCUGGCGGCAUGCCUAACACAUGCAAGUCGAACGAGACCUUCGGGUCUAGUGGCGCACGGGUGCGUAACGCGUGGGAACCUGCCCUUAGGUUCGGAAUAACUCAGAGAAAUUUGAGCUAAUACCGGAUAAUGUCUUCGGACCAAAGAUUUAUCGCCUUUGGAUGGGCCCGCGUAGGAUUAGCUUGUUGGUGGGGUAAUGGCCUACCAAGGCGACGAUCCUUAGCUGGUCUGAGAGGAUGAUCAGCCACACUGGGACUGAGACACGGCCCAGACCCCGGAGGAGGGGAGAAGGGGGGAUUAUGGGACGAGGGGCGAAGGCAGAACCCCGCAGUGCCGGAGAGGAAAUUAAGUCCUUAGGAUGGUAAAGCUGUUUACCCAGGGAUGUUAAGGACAUAACCGGAGAAAAAACCCCGGGCAAACUCCUG
rnacentral:rRNA from 1 species